rnacentral:rRNA from 1 species
AGUGAACGCUGGCGGUAGGCCUAACACAUGCAAGUCGAACGGCAGCACAGUAAGAGCUUGCUCUUACGGGUGGCGAGUGGCGGACGGGUGAGGAAUACAUCGGAAUCUACUUUUUCGUGGGGGAUAACGUAGGGAAACUCACGCUAAUACCGCAUACGACCUACGGGUGAAAGCAGGGGAUCUUCGGACCUUGCGCGAUUGAAUGAGCCGAUGUCGGAUUAGCUAGUUGGCGGGGUAAAGGCCCACCAAGGCGACGAUCCGUAGCUGGUCUGAGAGGAUGAUCAGCCACACUGGAACUGAGACACGGUCCAGACUCCUACGGGAGGCAGCAGUGGGGAAUAUUGGACAAUGGGCGCAAGCCUGAUCCAGCCAUACCGCGUGGGUGAAGAAGGCCUUCGGGUUGUAAAGCCCUUUUGUUGGGAAAGAAAAGCAGCAGGUUAAUACCCCGCUGUUCUGACGGUACCCAAAGAAUAAGCACCGGCUAACUUCGU